CAGCUGUAAUUACUAGAACACUUUGAGGAAGUCUGUUUCCCACCGAGCCACCAGUCUCUGAGAACCUCGUCUGACCAGACAUGAUGUUCGGCCGCCUGCUGCUUGCCUGUGUGUGUUUAAUCCCGGCGGAUCCAGUUCAGGCUACCUACAGACUUGUUCAGGUUCCAGAAGAAGCACAUUUUGCAGAGACGUUUGACUCAGAUCCUCUAGAUAGGAGAUGGGUCCAAUCCAAGGCUGUGAAAGAGACAGAUGCUGAGGCUCUCAAAUAUGAUGGU